rnacentral:rRNA from 1 species
CCCUUAGAUGUCCUGGGCCGCACGCGCGCUACACUGAUGCAUUCAACGAGUUUUACCUUGGCCGAGAGGCCUGGGCAAUCUUUUAAACCUGCAUCGUGAUAGGGAUAGAUUAUUGCAAUUAUUAAUCUUGAACGAGGAAUUCCUAGUAAACGCAAAUCAUCAAUUUGCAUUGAUUACGUCCCUGCCCUUUGUACACACCGCCCGUCGCACCUACCGAUUGAACGUUUUAGUGAGGCAUUUGGACCGACGCAUCUCAGUUUAACCGCUGGUUUGUGUUGGAAAGACUUCCAAACUUGAGCGUUUAGAGGAAGUAAAAGUCGUAACA